UACGGAGGGGGCAAGCGUUGUUCGGAAUUAUUGGGCGUAAAGAGUAUGUAGGCGGCUAUUUAAGUCAGGCGUGCAAGCCCACGGCUCAACCGUGGAAUUGCGUUUGAAACUAUUUAGCUUGAGUACAGGAGAGGAAGGCGGAAUUCCCAGUGUAGCGGUGAAAUGCAUUGAUAUUGGGAAGAACACCGGUGGCGAAGGCGCUCUACUGGAUCAUUACUGACACUCAGAGGCGAAAGCUAGGGUAGCAAAAGGG
rnacentral:rRNA from 1 species